CCUGGCCUAGGCCGCUGCUUGUCGGCGUGCCGCUCGUGCCUAUUACCUUGACUAUGCGCACCUUUGUUGUUCCCUCGGCAGUCCGCUGCCGCCAGGGACCCCUUAAACCCUUAUGUAAUACAGUAUACUUCUGAAAACAACCUAAUUAUUUA
rnacentral:misc_RNA from 1 species